UGGGGAAUCUUGCACAAUGGGGGCAACCCUGAUGCAGCGACGCCGCGUGAGCGAUGAAGCCCUUCGGGGCGUAAAGCUCUUUCGACCGGAACGAUAAUGACGGUACCGGGAGAAGAAGCUGCGGCUAACUACGUGCCAGCAGCCGCGGUAAUACGUAGGCAGCAGGCGUUGUUCGGAGUUACUGGGCGUAAAGAGUGCGUAGGCGGUUUUCUAAGUUCGGUGUGAAAUCUCCCGGCUUAACUGGGAGGGUGCGCCGAAGACUGGGAAGCUGGAGUGUGGGAAAGGCAGGCGGAAUUCCUGGUGUAGCGGUGAAAUGCGUAGAUAUCAGGAGGAACACCGGCGGUGUAGACGGCUUGCUAGACCAUAACUGACGCUGAGGCACAAAAGCGUGGGUAGCAAACA
rnacentral:rRNA from 1 species